AUUGAACGCUGGCGGCAGGCCUAACACAUGCAAGUCGAACGAGUGGCGGACGGGUGAGUAAUGUCUGGGAAACUGCCCGAUGGAGGGGGAUAACUACUGGAAACGGUAGCUAAUACCGCAUACCAUCGGAUGUGCCCCGAUGGGAUUAGUUGGUAGGUGGGGUAACGGCUCACCUAGGCGACGAUCCCUAGCUGGUCUGAGAGGAUGACCGGCCACACGGGAACUGAAAAACGGUCCAGACUCGGACGGGAGGCAGCAGUGGGGAAGAGUGCACAAUGGGGGCAAGCCUGAUGCAGCCAUGCCGCGGGUAUGAAGAAGGCCUUCGGGUUGUAAAGUACUUUCAGCGAGGAGGCGUUACUCGCAGAAGAAGCGCCGGAUAACUCCGUGCCAGCAGCCGCGGUAAUAC
rnacentral:rRNA from 1 species